CAGUCGCCGCGGUAAUACGUAGGGUGCAAGCGUUAAUCGGAAUUACUGGGCGUAAAGCGUGCGCAGGCGGUUCGCUAAGACAGAUGUGAAAUCCCCGGGCUUAACCUGGGAACUGCAUUUGUGACUGGCGGGCUAGAGUAUGGCAGAGGGGGGUAGAAUUCCACGUGUAGCAGUGAAAUGCGUAGAGAUGUGGAGGAAUACCGAUGGCGAAGGCAGCCCCCUGGGCCAAUACUGACGCUCAUGCACGAAAGCGUGGGGAGCAAACAGGAUUAGAUACCCGUGUAGUCCCUGUCUCUUAUAC
rnacentral:rRNA from 1 species